GAUGAACGCUGGCGGCGUGCUUAACACAUGCAAGUCGAACGAUGAAGCCCAGCUUGCUGGGUGGAUUAGUGGCGAACGGGUGAGUAACACGUGAGUAACCUGCCCUUAACUCUGGGAUAAGCCUGGGAAACUGGGUCUAAUACCGGAUAGGAGCGUCCACCGCAUGGUGGGUGUUGGAAAGAUUUAUCGGUUUUGGAUGGACUCGCGGCCUAUCAGCUUGUUGGUGAGGUAAUGGCUCACCAAGGCGACGACGGGUAGCCGGCCUGAGAGGGUGACCGGCCACACUGGGACUGAGACACGGCCCAGACUCCUACGGGAGGCAGCAGUGGGGAAUAUUGCACAAUGGGCGAAAGCCUGAUGCCGCGACGGCGCGUGAGGGAUGACGGCCUUCGGGUUGUAAACCUCUUUCCGUAGGGAAGAAGCGAAAGUGACGGUACCUGCAGAAGAAGCACCGGCUAACUACGUG
rnacentral:rRNA from 1 species